GCCUAGAUAGCUCAGUUCAUUAGAGCAUAAUGCUGAUAAUGCCAAGGUUGCAAGUUCAAACCCUGUAUUGGACA